rnacentral:rRNA from 1 species
UACGGGGGGAGCAAGCGUUGUUCGGAUUUACUGGGCGUAAAGGGCGCGUAGGCGGCGCCGCAAGUCGACUGUGAAAUCUCCGGGCUUAACCCGGAAAGGUCAGCCGAUACUGCGGGGCUAGAGUGCAGAAGGGGCAAUCGGAAUUCUUGGUGUAGCGGUGAAAUGCGUAGAUAUCAAGAGGAACACCUGAGGUGAAGACGGGUUGCUGGGCUGACACUGACGCUCAUGCACGAAAGCGUGGGGAGCAAACAGG